rnacentral:pre_miRNA from 1 species
AGUCAUCCGAAUCCGUGCUGAGAUUAUGUCAGACACCAACCCAUUAGGGCUGAUCAGACUUUUAAGAUAAGUGAAGUU